rfam:Tetrapisispora blattae CBS 6284 chromosome 5, complete genome
GCUUUCAUGGCCAAGUUGGUAAGGCGCCACACUAGUAAUGUGGAGAUCAUCAGUUCGACUCUGGUUGAAAGCA